rnacentral:rRNA from 1 species
GGUUAAGUUAGAAAGGGCGCACGGUGAAUGCCUUGGCACUAGGAGCCGAUGAAGGACGGGACUAACACCGAUAUGCUUCGGGGAGCUGUAAGUGAGCUUUGAUCCGGAGAUUUCCGAAUGGGGAAACCCACUGUUCGUAAUGGAACAGUAUCUUUAUCUGAAUACAUAGGAUAUUGAAGGCAGACCCGGGGAACUGAAACAUCUAAGUACCCGGAGGAAGAGAAAGCAAAUGCGAUUUCCUGAGUAGCGGCGAGCGAAACGGAAUUAGCCCAAACCAAGAGGCUUGCCUCUUGGGGUUGUAGGACACUCUAUACGGAGUUACAAAGGAACGAAGUAAAUGAAGCGACCUGGAAAGGUCCGUCGAAGAAGGUAACAACCCUGUAGUUGAAACUUCGUUCCCUCUUGAGUGGAUCCUGAGUACGGCGGAACACGUGAAAUUCCGUCGGAAGCUGGGAGGACCAUCUCCCAAGGCUAAAUACUACCUAGUGACCGAUAGUGAACCAGUACCGUGAGGGAAAGGUGAAAAGCACCCCGGAAGGGGAGUGAAAGAGAUCCUGAAACCGUGUGCCUACAAGUAGUCAGAGCCCGUUAACGGGUGAUGGCGUGCCUUUUGUAGAAUGAACCGGCGAGUUACGAUCCCAUGCAAGGUUAAGCUGAUAAGGCGGAGCCGUAGCGAAAGCGAGUCUGAAUAGGGCGUUUAGUAUGUGGUUGUAGACCCGAAACCAGGUGAUCUACCCAUGUCCAGGGUGAAGUUCAGGUAACACUGAAUGGAGGCCCGAACCCACGCACGUUGAAAAGUGCGGGGAUGAGGUGUGGGUAGCGGAGAAAUUCCAAUCGAACCUGGAGAUAGCUGGUUCUCUCCGAAAUAGCUUUAGGGCUAGCCUCAUGUUGUGAGAGUCUUGGAGGUAGAGCACUGAUUGGACUAGGGGCCCCCAACGGGUUACCGAAUUCAGUCAAACUCCGAAUGCCAAAGACUUAUCCAUGGGAGUCAGACUGCGAGUGAUAAGAUCCGUAGUCAAAAGGGAAACAGCCCAGACCACCAGCUAAGGUCCCCAAGUAUACGUUAAGUGGAAAAGGAUGUGGAGUUGCUUAGACAACCAGGAUGUUGGCUUAGAAGCAGCCACCAUUUAAAGAGUGCGUAAUAGCUCACUGGUCGAGUGACUCUGCGCCGAAAAUGUACCGGGGCUAAACGUAUCACCGAAGCUGUGGAUUGACAUCUUUGAUGUCAGUGGUAGGAGAGCGUUCUAAGUGCAGCGAAGUCAGACCGUAAGGACUGGUGGAGCGCUUAGAAGUGAGAAUGCCGGUAUGAGUAGCGAAAGACAAGUGAGAAUCUUGUCCACCGAAUGCCUAAGGUUUCCUGAGGAAGGCUCGUCCGCUCAGGGUUAGUCGGGACCUAAGCCGAGGCUGAAAAGCGUAGGCGAUGGCCAACAGGUUGAUAUUCCUGUACCACCUCCCCGCCGUUUGAGUAAUGGGGGGACGCAGUAGGAUAGGGUAAGCGCGCUGCUGGAUAUGCGCGUUCAAGCAGUUAGGCUGAUGAGUAGGCAAAUCCGCUCAUCAUAAAGGCUGAGCUGUGAUGACGAGGGAAUUAUAGUACCGAAGUUCCUGAUUCCACACUGCCAAGAAAAGCCUCUAGCGAGGCGGGAGGUGCCCGUACCGCAAACCGACACAGGUAGGCGAGGAGAGAAUCCUAAGGUGAUCGAGAGAACUCUCGUUAAGGAACUCGGCAAAAUGACCCCGUAACUUCGGGAGAAGGGGUGCUCUGGUAGGGUGUAUAGCCCGAGAGAGCCGCAGUGAAUAGGCCCAGGCGACUGUUUAGCAAAAACACAGGUCUCUGCGAAGCCGCAAGGCGAAGUAUAGGGGCUGACGCCUGCCCGGUGCUGGAAGGUUAAGAGGAGGGGUUAUCCUUUGGGAGAAGCUCUGAAUCGAAGCCCCAGUAAACGGCGGCCGUAACUAUAACGGUCCUAAGGUAGCGAAAUUCCUUGUCGGGUAAGUUCCGACCCGCACGAAAGGCGUAACGAUCUGGGCACUGUCUCAACGAGAGACUCGGUGAAAUUAUAGUACCUGUGAAGAUGCAGGUUACCCGCGACAGGACGGAAAGACCCCGUGGAGCUUUACUGUAGCCUGAUAUUGAAUUUUGGUACAGCUUGUACAGGAUAGGUAGGAGCCUGAGAAGCCGGAGCGCUAGCUUCGGUGGAGGCGUCGGUGGGAUACUACCCUGGCUGUAUUGAAAUUCUAACCCGCGGCCCUGAUCGGGCCGGGAGACAGUGUCAGGUGGGCAGUUUGACUGGGGCGGUCGCCUCCUAAAAUGUAACGGAGGCGCCCAAAGGUUCCCUCAGAAUGGUUGGAAAUCAUUCGUAGAGUGUAAAGGCACAAGGGAGCUUGACUGCGAGACCUACAAGUCGAGCAGGGACGAAAGUCGGGCUUAGUGAUCCGGUGGUUCCGCAUGGAAGGGCCAUCGCUCAACGGAUAAAAGCUACCCCGGGGAUAACAGGCUUAUCUCCCCCAAGAGUCCACAUCGACGGGGAGGUUUGGCACCUCGAUGUCGGCUCAUCGCAUCCUGGGGCUGUAGUCGGUCCCAAGGGUUGGGCUGUUCGCCCAUUAAAGCGGUACGCGAGCUGGGUUCAGAACGUCGUGAGACAGUUCGGUCCCUAUCCGUCGUGGGCGUAGGAAAUUUGAGAGGAGCUGUCCUUAGUACGAGAGGACCGGGAUGGACACACCGCUGGUGUACCAGUUGUCUUGCCAAAGGCAUCGCUGGGUAGCUAUGUGUGGACGGGAUAAGUGCUGAAAGCAUCUAAGCAUGAAGCCCCCCUCAAGAUGAGAUUUCCCAUAGCGCAAGCUAGUAAGAUCCCUGAAAGAUGAUCAGGUUGAUAGGUCAGAGGUGGAAGCGUGGCGACACGUGUAGCUGACUGAUACUAAUCGAUCGAGGACUUAACCAA